rnacentral:rRNA from 1 species
UACGUAGGGUGCAAGCGUUGUCCGGAAUUAUUGGGCGUAAAGAGCUCGUAGGCGGCUGUUCGAGUCGGGUGUGAAAUCCUGAGGCUUAACCUUGGGUCUGCAUUCGAUACUGGGCGGCUUGAGUCUGGUAGGGGGAUCUGGAAUUCCUGGUGUAGCGGUGGAAUGUGCAGAUAUCAGGAGGAACACCGGUGGCGAAGGCGGGUCUCUGGGCCGAUACUGACGCUGAGACGCGAAAGCGUGGGGAGCGAACAGG